UAAAAGGCGAAGACAGGGAAGAGUACAACGAAUAACGCCUUCAGAGAGGGAAAUCAUUAGCUGCGAGAUUUCCUAGGACGGUUAUCGUUGGAAGGUCGCCCUCGAGCUGCUUCUUCGAACGGCGGAUGCCUUGUAGAGGAAGCCGGCGAUAUGCCGUUAUCGCAAUGAAGCGCUUAAGCAAGUUUGCUUUGCUUAAGAAAAAAGGUGGUACCGCGGAAGAGUCUCCUUUCGUCCUUUUU
rfam:Geobacillus sp. Y4.1MC1, complete genome.